CUACGGGUGGCACCAGUGGGGAAUAUUGCACAAUGGGCGCAAGCCUGAUGCAGCAACGCCGCGUGAGGGAUGAAGGCCUUCGGGUUGUAAACCUCUUUUAGCAGGGAAGAAGCGAAAGUGACGGUACCUGCAGAAGAAGCACCGGCUAACUACGUGCCAGCAGCCGCGGUAAUACGUAGGGUGCAAGCGUUGUCCGGAAUUAUUGGGCGUAAAGAGCUCGUAGGCGGUUUGUCACGUCUGCUGUGAAAAUCCAAGGCUCAACCUUGGACUUGCAGUGGGUACGGGCAGGCUAGAGUGCGGUAGGGGAGAUGGGAAUUCCUGGUGUAGCGGUGGAAUGCGCAGAUAUCAGGAGGAACACCAAUGGCGAAGGCACAUCUCUGGGCCGUAACUGACGCUGAGGAGCGAAAGCGUGGGGAGCGAACAGGAUUAGAUACCCGCGUAGUC
rnacentral:rRNA from 1 species